GUGAAGAACGUAGCGAAAUGCGAUAAGUAGUGUGAAUUGCAGAAUUCAGUGAAUCAUCGAAUCUUUGAACGCACAUUGCGCCCUUUGGUAUUCCUUAGGGCAUGCCUGUUCGAGCGUCAUUUAAACCUUCAAGCUCAGCUUGGUGUUGGGUGACUGUCCGCUUCACCGCGGACUCGCCUCAAAAUUAUUGGCGGCCGGUACAUUGGCUUCGAGCGCAGCAGAAACGCGAACUCGGGCCCGUCGUAUUGGCUCCCAGAAGCUAUCUUCACAAUUUUGACCUCGGAUCAGGUAGGGAUACUCGCUGAACUUAAGCAUAUCAAUAAGCGGAGGA
rnacentral:misc_RNA from 1 species